rnacentral:rRNA from 1 species
UACGUGAGGGGCGAACGUUGUUCGGUGUCACUGGGCUUAAAGGGUGCGUAGGUGGUUGCGUAAGUAACGUGUGAAAUCCCUCGGCUUACCCGGGGAAUUGCGCGUUAUACUGCGUGACUUGAGGAUUUCAGGGGAAUGGGGAACUCCAGGUGUAGCGGUGAAAUGCGCAGAUAUCAGGAGGAACACCGGUGGCGAAGGCGGUUCUCUGGGCAUGUCCUGACGCUGAGGAGCGAAAGUGUGGGGAGCGAACAGG